AAACCCGCACACCGCAAACCCAAGGUUUCCUCAGCAAUGCUAAUCAGCUGAGGGUUAGUCGGGACCUAAGGCGAACCCGAACGGGGUAGUCGAUGGACAACUGGUUAAUAUUCCAGUACUUGUUAUAACUGCGAUGGGGUGACGAAGGUGUGACAGCUUCGCGAACUGACGGAAUAGUUCGUUGAAACACGUAGGUAUAGGUUGGAUAGGCAAAUCCGUUCGACCUGCUGAAAUGUGAUAGUACUCCGAGGCUUCGGCUGAGGAGAUAGUGAGCGUAAUCAGACUUCCGAGAAAAACCUCUAAGCUUCAGGUUAUAACAACUCGUACCGUAAACCGACACAGGUGGGUGAGGAGAGUAUCCUCAGGUGCUCGAGUGAAUCAUGGCUAAGGAACUAGGCAAAAUCGCCCCGUAACUUCGGGAGAAGGGGCGCCCCCGCGAGGGGGCCGCAGUGAAAAGGCCCAGGCGACUGUUUAGCAAAAACACAGGACUCUGCUAAAUCGAAAGAUGAUGUAUAGGGUCUGACACCUGCCCGGUGCUGGAAGGUUAAGAGGAGGCGUUAUCGCAAGUGAAGCUCUGACUUGAAGCCCCAGUAAACGGCGGCCGUAACUAUAACGGUCCUAAGGUAGCGAAAUUCCUUGUCGGGUAAGUUCCGACCUGCACGAAUGGUGUAGCAAUGGAACUGCUGUCUCAACGAGAGAGUCGGCGAAAUUGUAGCAUCGGUGAAGAUGCCGGUUACCUGCAUCAAGACGGAAAGACCCCGGAACCUUUACUGUAUCCUGGUACUGGAUUUUGAUCCUGUAUGUGUAGCAUAGGUGGGACGCUUUGAAGUCGCGGCGCUAGCCGUGAUGGAGCGGAAAUGUGAAAUACCACCCUUACUGUAUUAGGAUUCUAACCCGCGGCCGUGAAACCGGCCGGGGGACAAUGCCAGGUGGGCAGUUUGACUGGGGCGGUUACCUCCUAAAUUGUAACGGAGGCGUACAAAGGUUCUCUCAGUGCGGUCGGCAAUCGCACGGUGAGUGCAAAGGCAGAAGAGAGCUUAACUGUGAGACUUACAAGUCGAGCAGAUACGAAAGUAGGUCUUAGUGAUCCGGUGAUGGCGUGUGGAAGCGUCAUCGCUCAACGGAUAAAAGGUACUCCGGGGAUAACAGGCUGAUCGCGUCCAAGAGUUCACAUCGACGACGCGGUUUGGCACCUCGAUGUCGGCUCAUCACAUCCUGGGGGUGGAGAAGCUCCCAAGGGUCCGGCUGUUCGCCGGUUAAAGUGGUACGUGAGCUGGGUUCA
rnacentral:rRNA from 1 species